UACGAAGGGGGCUAGCGUUGCUCGGAAUCACUGGGCGUAAAGCGCACGUAGGCGGAUUCUUAAGUCAGGGGUGAAAUCCUGGAGCUCAACUCCAGAACUGCCUUUGAUACUGGGAGUCUUCGAGUCCGGGAGAGGUGAGUGGAACUGCGAGUGUAGAGGUGAAAUUCGUAGAUAUUCGCAAGAACACCAGUGGCGAAGGCGGCUCACUGGCCCGGUACUGACGCUGAGGUGCGAAAGCGUGGGGAGCAAACAGG
rnacentral:rRNA from 1 species